rnacentral:rRNA from 1 species
GACGAACGCUGGCGGCGUGCUUAACACAUGCAAGUCGAGCGGUAAGGCCCUUUCGGGGGUACACGAGCGGCGAACGGGUGAGUAACACGUGGGUGACCUGCCCUCAGCUCUGGGAUAAGCCUGGGAAACUGGGUCUAAUACCGGAUAUGACCCCAUGACGCAUGUCGUGGGGUGGAAAGCCUUGUGCGGCUGAGGAUGGGCCCGCGGCCUAUCAGCUUGUUGGUGGGGGUGAUGGCCUACCAAGGCGACGACGGGUAGCCGGCCUGAGAGGGCGACCGGCCACACUGGGACUGAGACACGGCCCAGACUCCUACGGGAGGCAGCAGUGGGGAAUCUUGCGCAAUGGGCGAAAGCCUGACGCAGCGACGCCGCGUGA